UCACUCAGGACCCCUUCAUUCAUUUCGAACAAAGAGUAAGACCCCUUCUCUCUUUUAACCACAUGGAGGAAGAUGGGCGGUUUGGGGAAGAUUAUUUUUACUAUGCUGGGAAGACUGUCAUUACUCUACUUGUGGUCUACCACUCAGAUUUAUAGAUUUAGAACAGGAAAGGCUGAGGAUAAUUCUAAGCUUGGGAUUUUUCCAGGCAGCCAGGUAAUGAAGGAGUCAGAAAGUGGACAGAAGCUGCCGGCAAGUUGUACCUGCCUGAGAAUGGAAUUGGCAACCAUGAAGCCUUUCAACAGGGUUUGGUUGUCCCAAGAACCGUGACGUUUGCUACCAUUUUGGAAUGGGUUGUGGCCUCGGCAAGGAGCUUAAAGAAAAUCACUUUGCCCGAAUUCCACGUGAAAAUGGCAUGAUGAUUACUUUUUCUUCCUGUCCCUGCAAACACUUGGUGCUUGGCUAAAUGAAAAUAAAGGACAGAUAAGCUCAUGGCUCGACAUUAUUGUCCUCUGCAUACAAAGUUCCACAUUCCAGGAUUGGAUUCCACAGGAAAAUAUGCUCAACGGUCAGAAGCCCUUGCUACUUUAUCCUAACUGUGGUGACGAUCUGGAAAGGAGUCUUGGUCACUGACCCAACAGCCAACGGAGAGACACCGUGCCAUAUGGUUAAACUCUGUGCAUCACGGACUGAAGUCAGAAAAAGCUUGCCAAGUCCUGAUGCAGAAGAUUGUUGAGUAAAAAACAUCAUUCCCAGCACCGCCAAGCAUGCGCUAAUCUCUUCUCUGCGUCUUCCAAAUUGUGGCUCCAGAUGUUGUCCCUGAUUCAUGGGGUGUUCACGAAAGCUGGCAAGGCCACCGACAAAUGUGUUACAGUAAGCACGGAACAAUAUUUCAAAAAGUCAUACAUGUGUAGUUCCAUAGGUAUUACAUGGAAAAUACGUAUAUGCACGCAGUGCUAGACAUAUAUAGCGAUCUCAAUAUUUAAACAUUUAUAUUUCAUAUCAAAGGCUUGAUACAUAUGUGCAUAUACGUAUUUGCAUGUUAUAGGUAUUUAUAUAUGCAUGAUGGUGCUAUAUGUGUGUGCAUGAUGAUAUGUGUUUGCAUAUGUACAUAAUGGUGAGUAUAUCUAUAUGCAUAGUGAUACAGUGACAUAACACGUAUUUGUAUAUGCAUAAUGCUGUGCAUAUGUAUUUGCAUAACAAUAUAUGCAUAAGGAUACAUGCAUAUAUGCAUAAUACAUAUAUGUAUCACACUAUAUAAUGGUUUUUUAAUAUUGUUUACUAGUAUCUAUACUAUAUAAAGUAUAUGUUGUAUAUACAUAAUAUAUAACCUAUAUGUUAUAAUAUAUACACAUAAUAUAUAUUAUUAUUCCUUAUUUUAGCCACCAGGAGAAGGUUAAAUGGUAGAUUAAAUUUCAUUUUGAAAACAGAUUGAAACUCACAAAUUUACUUAAAUAAUUCAAGUUAUAAGGUUUAAUAUGUAGGAACUAGAAUUUGUGUUAUAUCUUUUCCUUUUAAUAGAUUUUAGUAUACUUUAGGGAAAAAAACAACUUCAGAAAAUAUGAAACAUAUCUUAAUAAUUUGGUAUUUUCUAUGUAUUUUAAUGUUAUAACGUUUUCACACAAUUACAUUUCAUUGUUUAAUCCUUUAGAACAGGGUCAAAUGAGGAAAGUUUAAUUGCUGGGAAUCAGCACAUAAAAGCUAAAAGUCAAUAGCCAUACAAUUCCAGUGUCUUUUAAUUCACUACAUUCGAAUUUUAAAGGCAUUCAUUACUUUGUAAUGUAUCCUGAAGCAAGAUGAGACGCAUAAAACAGUGUCCAAUAUAAGACCAAGAAAUAACUUUAUACAUCUCUUUGUAAACCCAAACACUGAAGCACUUUUCUGGGAAACACGCUCGUUUCUUAGUGGAGUGUGGUUUUCAAAAUAAACUUUUUCAUGGCCCUUUUUCUGAA